rnacentral:hammerhead_ribozyme from 1 species
AUUCAGCUGAUGAGUCCCAAACAGGACGGAAAGCGCAUUCUGGAU